GUCCACGCCUAAACGAUGUCAACUGGUUGUUGGGAAGGCAACUUCCUUAGUAACGAAGCUAACGCGUGAAGUUGACCGCCUGGGGAGGUACGGCCGCAAGGUUAAAACUACAAAGGAAUUGACGGGGACCCGGCACAAGCGGUGGAUGAUGUGGAUUAAUUCGAUGCAACGCGAAGAACCUUACCUACCCUUGACAUGUACGGAAUCCUGCUGAGAGGUGGGAGUGCCCGAAAGGGAGCCGUAACACAGGUGCUGCAUGGCUGUCGU
rnacentral:rRNA from 1 species